CUGUGCAUAANCAAAAUGCGUAGGAAAAGAAACUAACAAGGAUUCCCUUAGUAACGGCGAGUGAAGCGGGAAGAGCUCAAAUUUGAAAUCUUCAAGGUUUUACCUUGACGAAUUGUAGUUUAAAGAAGUGUUUUCUGUUGAAGUUUUGGUAAAAGUUCUUUGGAAUAGGACAUCAUAGAGGGUGAGAAUCCCGUAUUUGACCAUUAUUUUCAGCUGUGUGAUACACUUUCAAAGAGUCGGAUUGUUUGGGAAUGCAGUCCAAAAUGGGUGGUAAAUUUCAUCUAAAGCUAAAUAUUGGCGAGAGACCGAUAGCGAACAAGUACCGUGAGGGAAAGAUGAAAAGAACUUUGAAAAGAGAGUUAAACAGUACGUGAAAUUGUCAAAAGGGAAGCGUUUGACACCAGUGUUGUUUUCUCGAAAAUCAAUUAAAAAGAGUUGGAUUUUGUGUUGUAUUGACCUUAACAGCUUGCUUCACUCUUUUCCUGCUUUUUUUAAUGCACUUUUCGUUUAACAAGUCAACAUCAGUUUCUUUUGUUGUAAAAGGGUCAUUGGAAGGUGGCUUUCUCUUCGGAGAAAGUGUUUAUAGCCUUUGAUCUCUGCAAUCGGAGAGACUGAGGUCUGCAGCGUAGAUCCUUCGGGGUUAGAUACAUUUGUGCUAAGCUACAGCUUUUCAUAGACAACUUGUUGACUAUGUUUAGUCUUGUGACUUACCCGCUUAUGCUAUUUUACCUACGCUUAGGAUGUUGACAAAAUGGUUUUAAACGACCCGUCUUACAAAAAAGAGACACACAAAA
rnacentral:rRNA from 1 species